rnacentral:rRNA from 1 species
UGGUGGAGUGAUUUGUCUGGUUAAUUCCGAUAACGAACGAGACUCUGUCCUGCUAACUAGGUUGUGUUUUCUCGGGUUGGUGUUUCUGGUGUUCCUUCUCGGGGCGCCGGCCCAAUCCACUUGUGAACACAACACUCCUCUUAGAGGGACUGGCGGCUGUUAGCCGCACGAGAUAGAGCAAUAACA